UUGUGACUCUUUCAAAAAAUUUAACAAAAUAAAAUAUGCUUUACGAUUCCAUGGAUAUGCAAGAAACUCAUUAAGAUACUCAACCAUACCAAGAGUUCUGUAAUCAAUUUGUCUUGAAGUUGGUUUUAACACACACUCUACCAACAUAACUAAUCACAACUUAAAUUUAUCCUGAUGAUUUUGACACCUGUGAAAUGCUUCAAAAAGCAUUCUCACCGUAAUUCUUCUUGUACCAUCAAAGUACUGAUUUCUAAGACGAUCAUUACUAUAAUCGAUCUCCAUGAAUGAUUCAUGGCAAGGUAAUCCAAUAAUCAAGCAGAAUUCUUGCAAACCAAACUUAGCAACAUGGUCAUCUAACCGUACCCAAAUUUCAUUAUUUUUCCAACAAUUUAUAAGUCUCACUAUAAAUUCAUGUACCAAUUUACUACUAAAUUGUUAUCAUUCUUCUAUAUAAACAGCUUUAUAAAUAAAUCCAUAAAAAUGACUACACAUCAAAGAACAUUGUUGAUCUGCUUCUAUGAACUCUACAAAAUAUUUCAGAUAUUCUCGAUUUGGAUAUUGAAUAAUUGUAGCAGAAAACCAUUGAUUUAGAGAGACUAUAUAUUCUAGAGACAUCUGCAUAAAUUAUUCAAAAAUAAAUAUUCAUAAACAAAUCUAAAAACUAAUCUACACAAAUUAUUUAAAAAAUAAUAUUCAUGAGAAAAUCUAAAAAUUAAAUCAGAGAAAUGUUUACUUAUAAAUAAAUCAACAAUCCAAAAUAAACAAACGCAACAAUAAAAAGAAAAUUGUCUUUGUUAUAGAAACACCCAUCUCCAUCUCACAGAGGCGAGCUCUGUGUCACAGACGAGGGUUCUCUCCGUGACACGAACAGCUCCUUCUCCAUGUCAGAGAUGCACACGCACUUCGUGACACGGAAAGCCCAUCUCCAUUUCACGGAAAGCUUAAACAAAAAUAAGAAACGAAAAUAUUAUAUAAAAAAUCAUCAGUUCCAAGCUCUAAUUCUCCAUGAUAUAUUCUCAUGCCACAAUAUAAAUCUUUAAAUGUUUACCUUCUCCGGCGACAUUUUCAACAAAUGGUUACCUUUUCCAGCCAAAUUUUCCAGCACAGUAUGUGGGCACCUUAUCCGUCUAAAAUCUGUGGACGUCAGUAUGAGAAUAGAAGAAUGACCCUUCAGCUUUAAAUACAAUAAUAAAUAAGUUGUGUUUUGUUUUCUUGUAAUAAUUGAAA
rnacentral:lncRNA from 1 species